ACUGCCACCAUGGAGAAGCAGCCGCUUCCAGCAGCUCUCAGCGUUCUGCAGGAGAACCAGCAGAUGAAGCUGGUGUUUAGUGACUGUUGUUUUCUGUCCUGAUGUCUUCCUGGCAGCUGCAAACCAAACUGCUCCUUGAAGAGAAGAAAGAAACUUUGAACCUUGAAGCUUCCAGGAACUCCACUGCUGCUCCUGCUGCUGCCCCGCCCUCCUACCUGUCCCACCUCCAUCACAGCUGAAGCUCCGCCUCCUUCCAGGUAGCAGCUCACCUGUGUCUCAGUGGUUCACAUCUUGUUCUUCAGCACUUUGGAGCGUCUGAACAAACUGUCCAAUAAAGCCCGGACUUCACUGUGGCUCCACUUCUCUGGCUCUGGCUCCAUUUUGGUAAAUGUGAAGGUAGAAAGUGUGUGUGAGCUGAUGUGGAUGUGAAUUC